CGCGGGGUGGAGCAGCUCGGUAGCUCGCUGGGCUCAUAACCCAGAGGUCGCGUGGUUCGAAUCCCGCCCCCGCUACCA
rnacentral:tRNA from 7 species